UACGUAGGGGGCGGAGCGUUGUCCGGAUUUAUUGGGCGUAAAGAGCUCGUAGGCGGCUUAGCAAGUCGGGUGUGAAAACUCCAGGCUCAACCUGGAGACGCCACUCGAGACUGCUAUGGCUAGAGUCCGGUAGGGGACCACGGGAAUUCCUGGUGUAGCGGUGAAAUGCGCAGAUAUCAGGAAGAACACCCGUGGCGAAGGCGGCUCUCUGGUACGUGACUGACGCUGAGACGCGAAAGCGUGGGGAGCAAACAGG
rnacentral:rRNA from 1 species